AUGACUCAGGUUACAUUUCACAUAGAGAGCAGGACAGGAGGGUUGAAAUCUCCAGACACAGAGUGGGAAAUUCUUCAAGGGGCCAAGGGCACUAAACUUAGCAGCUUGCCCCCACCCUUUGCUGGUCCCAGCUUCUUGGAAAGGACAGGAGGAGGAAGAGGAGGCAUAGCUUUGCAUUGGGGUGGAGGGAUUAAGGGGAAGAGGAGCAGCAACCUGGCACCAAAGAACUUUGAUCUUCCCGCAUGUGCGCUCUUAUCUACCUCAUCCUUCCUCUGUCUCAUCUUCCUGGGAAAGCAACCCCCACCUCAGUUAUCCCCAAGGCACCGCAUUACCACCCAAAAGGGACUUCUCCCAGCUUCUCACUCUGAAUGUAACUAGCCCAGGUGAGACGACGACUCGGCCAAAAGGUUUUUGGGACCCAUUCCAAUCAAUGUCUGCUGAUAAGACAAGCAGGCUAGGACAGAAAAC
rnacentral:lncRNA from 1 species